rnacentral:rRNA from 1 species
AGUACGGCGAGUGAAGCGGCAAAAGCUCAAAUUUGAAACCCUCGGGAUUGUAAUUUGAAGAUUUGGCAUUGGAGAAAGCUAACCCAAGUUGCUUGGAAUAGUACGUCAUAGAGGGUGACAACCCCGUCUGGCUAACCGUUCUCCAUGUAUUGCCUUAUCAAAGAGUCGAGUUGUUUGGGAAUGCAGCUCAAAGUGGGUGGUAAACUCCAUCUAAAGCUAAAUACUGGUGAGAGACCGAUAGCGAACAAGUACUGUGAAGGAAAGGUGAAAAGAACUUUGAAAAGAGAGUGAAAUAGUAUGUGAAAUUGUUGAUAGGGAAGGAAAUGAGUGGAGAGUGGCCGAGGUUUCAGCCGCCCCUCGUGGGCGGUGUACUGCCGACGCCGAGUCAUCGAUAGCGAGACGAGGGUUACAAAUGGGAGCGCCUUCGGGCGUUCUCCCCUAACCCUCCACACUGCCACCGACGACAUAAUCCACCCAUUUCACCCGUCUUGAAGACGGACCCAAAAUAUGUAAGGGGCUGAUCCACACCAUCGCACAAAGGCCGGGAUCAUCAUGAGCAUGAACCCCAACGACACUCCGAUCCACGAUCGAGUCACCGUCUUGAAACACGGACCAAAGCUU